GAAGCCAAAGUAACGAAGACAGGACCUGAUGAGUGUGGGGGCUAUCGAGGGAUGGAGUUUCAUCGCAAUAGUAUCCUCCCCUUCUCUGCCAGUUCUACAGACCCGAGCCAACAGCUAAUUUGUCAUCGAAACUUGAAGAUGUUGACCUUACUCCUCUCAAAGUGACCUGUGCACGUAGCCCAACAAUGUGAAAGUGCUACCCUUUUUCUCUACCAGCUCGACGCAAGCCAUAACUUCUAAUACAACAACAUUUGAUUUGCUCUUGAGACAAAUGUUGGAUUCAAGUGAUGACUUAACAUUCCAUGUUCUACUUGAGUGUCUUAUAGAUGUAAAUACAUUGUGGUCAGAUAGGUAGAAGU
rnacentral:lncRNA from 1 species